CAGGUGGGGUCUCACCAGAGCAGAGCAGAGGGGCAGAAUCCCCUCCCUCCCCUGCUGCCCACACUGCUUUGGAUGCAGCCCAGGACACGGGGGGUUUCUGGGCUCCCAGUGCACAUGGCUGGGUCAUCUCCAGCCUUUCAUCCACCAGCAUCCCCAAGUUCUUCUCACCAGGGCUGUUCUCUCAAUAACUUCUCUUCCCAGC